CCUACGGGUGGCAGCAGUCGAGAAUCAUGCACAAUGGGGGAAACCCUGAUGGGGCGACGCCGCGUGGGGGAAGGAAGGUCUGCGGAUUGUAAACCCCUGUCAUGUGGGAGCAAAUUAAAAAGAUAGUACCACAAGAGGAAGAGACGGCUAACUCUGGGCCAGCAGCCGCGGUAAUACAGAGGGCUCAAGCGUUGGUCGGAAUCACUGGGCGUAAAGGGUGCGUAGGCUGUUUCGUAAGUCGGGUGUGAAAGGCGCGGGCUCAACCCGCGGACGGCACAUGAUACUGGGAGACUAGAGUAAUGGAGGGGGAGCCGGAAUUCUCGGUGUAGCGGUGAAAUGCGUAGAUAUCGGGAGGAACACUCGUGGCGAAGGCGGGUUCCUGGACAUUAACUGACGCUGAGGCACGAAAGCCCGGGGAGCGAAAAGGAUUAGAUACCCCUGUAGUC
rnacentral:rRNA from 1 species